rnacentral:rRNA from 1 species
AUACGGAGGGUGCAAGCGUUAUCCGGAAUCAUUGGGUUUAAAGGGUCCGUAGGCGGACUAUUAAGUCAGAGGUGAAAUCCCACAGCUCAACUGUGGAACUGCCUUUGAUACUGGUAGUCUUGAGUUAUAUGGAAGUAGAUAGAAUGUGUAGUGUAGCGGUGAAAUGCAUAGAUAUUACACAGAAUACCGAUUGCGAAGGCAGUCUACUACGUAUAUACUGACGCUAAGGGACGAAAGCGUGGGGAGCGAACAGGAUUAGAAACCCCAGUAGUCC